AUACGGAGGAUCCGAGCGUUAUCCGGAUUUAUUGGGUUUAAAGGGAGCGUAGGCGGACGCUUAAGUCAGUUGUGAAAGUUUGCGGCUCAACCGUAAAAUUGCAGUUGAUACUGGGUGUCUUGAGUACAGUAGAGGCAGGCGGAAUUCGUGGUGUAGCGGUGAAAUGCUUAGAUAUCACGAAGAACUCCGAUUGCGAAGACAGCCUGCUGGACUGUAACUGACGCUGAUGCUCGAAAGUGUGGGUAUCAAACAGGAUUAGAUACCCUGGUAGUCCACACAGUAAACGAUGAAUACUCGCUGUUUGCGAUAUACAGUAAGCGGCUUAGCGAAAGCGUUAAGUAAUCCACCUGGGGAGUACGCCGGCAACGGUGAAACUCAAAUGAAUUGACGGGG
rnacentral:rRNA from 1 species